GCUAUUGUUCAGCUAGAGAAGAGCAAAGUUCCUAAUCUCAGAAUACAAAAAUAUCAAAAUCACAGAGUUCACAACAUGAAUGGAGGCUAGCUAUGAGGCAUAAGUCAAUAUAUAGUUAACAGUGAAAUAUCAAAUUCAUCGAAGCUUGAAAUAUCAGAUUCUAAAUUCAUCGAAGCUUGAAAUAUCAGAUUCUAAAUUCAUCGAAGCUUGAAAUAUCAGAUUCUAAAUUCAU
rnacentral:lncRNA from 1 species